rnacentral:lncRNA from 1 species
GAAACAUCAAUAUUUUGUACAUCAAGAUAUAGGAGCAUCAAUAAUUUUAUUUUAAUGGAUCAUGGUUUGGCAAGCAGGAUAUGAUGAAGACUAUUGCUUAUAAAUAUGAGUAGAUAUUUUUGUGGUUUAUUCCAUUUUGGUUUUCCCCAUUUGAGCUUCUUUUAUUUUAUGGAAAAAAAUAAAAUGACUAACUUGUACUUCUAACUAGAUUGCUAGGUCAGUCCUAUAACUAUUCCUGAUGUAUUUGUACUAUUAAUUUGAAUGAUAAGAUCUAUUUACUCUCUGUAG